CUCUGCCUGUAAUACUCAGUGGAGGGUCGUGCCGGGCUUCGGGGCUCAAACUCUGCUAGGGACCGGAACAUUUAAACACCAGAGUCAGACAAAAAAGUGAUUAUUGCAUGGACUAGUGUCUGGGUCCAUAUGCAGUCCAUGGUGGUGAGGCCGAUCACUCAUCAAGGAAGGACGCCUGGAACUCACUGUACAAAAUAUUUAUAACGUGAUGCUGCCGGUGUUUUGUGAUGUCGUCAGUGUCUUGUUAGUGUCCUAGAGUCUGGUGUUUGCGUAUUUUAAGACAUAAGAUAAAAAAACAUGGCACCAAAACUGAUAGAAGUCACAUUACCGAAAGCCGUUAUACCGAGGAGGAGAGGCAUAUGCAAGAAAGGUACAAUGGUGGUGAGUUGGGUAAGCUCGGCCUUCUCUGAGACUCUGCACACCACCAAGCAUGUGGCUCACGUCUGUCUCCUCCUCAUUGUGGUGGCCCUGUUUGAGGUGGGGGCUGGCGGCCUCUGGGGAGGGACGCCCACCACGGCCGCCUAUCCUCCUCUAGUCACCCUCCUAUUUCAGCUACUGAGAUUGUUACCUCUUCUGGCACUGCCGCAGGCAGUGUUCAAUUUUCUUGGCUUCAUCUGCUUCAACGCCUUCCCUGAGCGAGCCAAGCUGAAGGGCUCCCCACUGCUGGCGCCGUUCCUGUGCCUGAGGGUGGUCACGCGGGGAGACUACCCGGACCUGGUCAGGACAAAUGUCAACCGCAACCUGAACACCUGCCUGCGAGUUGGCCUGGAGAAGUUUAUGAUUGAGGUUGUGACGGAUAAAAAGAUUGACUUGCCAGAAAACCAGAGAAUCAGACAGGUUGUUGUCCCGUCAAGUUAUCGGCCGAAGAGCGGCGCGCUGUUCAAGGCUCGUGCCCUCCAGUACUGCCUGGAGGAAGAUGUCAACGUCCUGGCCGACACGGACUGGAUAGUUCACCUGGAUGAAGAGACCCUGGCCACCGAGGCGGCCAUGAGAGGAAUUCUCAACUUUGUUAUUGAAGGCCGUCAUCAGUUUGGUCAGGGUUUGAUAACAUAUGCAAAUGAGAACAUCCAGAACUGGUUCACCACCCUGGCGGACAGCUUUCGGGUCUCGGACGACAUGGGGAAGCUGAGGUUCCAGUUCAAGGUGUUCCACAAGCCUCUCUUUGGCUGGAAGGGUUCCUAUGUUGUUACACAGACCGGUGCGGAGCGGCGAGUGACGUUUGACCACGGCCCGGACGGCAGCGUGGCGGAAGACAACUACUUUGGCAUGGUGGCUCUGCGGGACGGCUACUCCUUUGACUUCAUUGAGGGAGAAAUGUGGGAGAAGUCCCCCUUCACCAUCUAUGACUUCCUCCAGCAGCGGAAGAGGUGGCUUCAGGGGAUCCUCCUGGUGGUGCACAGCUCACACAUCCCUGUGAGCACCAAGUGGCUGCUGGCCGUGUCCCUCUACUCCUGGAUCACCAUGCCCCUGGCCCUUGCCUCAGUAGUCCUAAGCACCAUCUUUCCUGUUCCUGUGCCUGGGUUCAUCAAUGUGAUUGCAGCGUUUGUUGGAGCCGUCAACUUUUAUAUGUAUAUUUUUGGUGUAAUCAAGUCGUUUCGUGUGGACCGGCUGGGGUGGCUGCGGAUGACAAUGUGUGUGGCGGGGGCGCUCAUCACCAUGCCCUUCAACUUCCUGGUGGAGAACAUUGCGGUGGUGAGAGGGUUGGUGGGCAACAAACACAAAUUUUACAUCGUGGACAAGGUCAUGGGAGCUCCAGAUAAAGUCGUCAGCACUGUUUAAAUUGUGGGCUGACCUGCCUAGUCAUGUGUACACAUAUGUAUGUUCUCCCCUCCCUUGUUCUUGCAGCUUACCAGCACAACCACUGCCUGUUGCCAGAUGAAUACUAGUUAUCAUUUGCAUUUCCCAGAAUAAUGAAAAAUAUGGUCAAUAAUAGGAAAGCCUACAUGCUCCUCAAAAUGUUUAACAUUGCAAACAGAACUAUAUUCGUAUUGGAUUUCGAUGGAAUUUUUAUCAGCACUUAAAAAUUGAGCAGUAUUUGAUCUAAUACACACUAGCAAAGUGAAUGACAAAACUUUCAGAGACAAAUUUGUUACGAGCCGGGGACGCUCAAACCUGAAUUUAUGCAACGCGCAGCACUGCACCCGUCUGUUCCUCUGCCUGGGCCACAUGGGAGGGCAACACUUCUCCCCCAUCUGCCUAAAAGUUUUAAGGCAGUGUACUAAACAUUAAAGCAAUUCAUAUAAGAUCUUGUGAUAAUAUAGCAGAAAAGAAAACAUAUUUCACUUUGUUGUAUAACAGAUUUAAUUUUCACGGAAAUGAAGUUGACAGCGUCUAAACACUUGCUUCGCUAAUGCAUUAGUGUGAACCAAAUAUCUUAGGAAGUCUGAUUUCAAUCACCUUCGCAUCAGCAUGAGAGUGAAAGGAAGCUGAGGUGCCAUGUUUUCCCAGUCAUGGGAAGCAAGGUGAGCAGUGCUUUCUUGGUAUAUUUUCAUAAGAUUGAUUCAAAUUACAGCAAUUGAAUGAAACAUGAUCAUCUACCUCAAAGCUUUGUAGAUAAGCAAAAAAAAGUUGUUCUGCUCUCUAGUGUGUUCCCGGCAGAGCAAGAGAGCGUUUCCGCCACACACAGACUCUGCUGUGACGGCCCCCUCACAGAGGCAGGACUGGGUGACAGCGCUGCCAGCCAUGUCAACUCAUCUUUGAAAGUCCCCCAUCAAAAAGACAUGACAUAAGAAUUUGCAUCAGCCUAAAUUUUUCUGCUUGAUUAUGAUUUUGUAUGCAGAAUCUAUGCUGUACGUUAGACUGAUGGGGAGGAAAGAUAAAUAAAUCCCUCUGAUCAAGCUUGGUACGCGGCCGAGCACGACGCCUGCGCUUGGCCGUGUGGCGGUGGUGCUGGUAGUCCUUGUCUACAAUGCUCAGGGAUGUGACUUUAUCUGAACAGUCCUGUAGCAGCUUGGCUUGUUUUAGGCGGCGGGUGAGAACCCCAACCAGAGGAUGAGUGCACAAGGAAAACCUAUGAAAAGGCACAAAUCAAAAUGUGGUGCUGGACAAGAGUCGUGGUUGGCCCUGUGAUUCUCAGUUUUGCUUGUUAGGGAGUGUGCUGGACAGUCCUCGCCAAACAGCCCAAGAUAGGAGGAGGAGCGUUGCUUAUUAGCGCAUUUAGACCGAGUGCUACUUAAGCUCGAUCAGGAGGUGCUGCUGCACCUUGCCCUUGUGAUACACAUUCACUGCCAGUUGAAAGCAGAAAGCUGAUAUUUUGGCCUCCAAUAUUUCCCUGUGCCAGGGCAUUAAGUUCAGGCUCUGAACUUGCUUUUUUUUUUUCAUAAAUGAAUAGUUGAUAGCCGUGUCAACUGUAUUUAUUGUAUUAAGUGUCUAUUUUUGUUACUUAGCAGUGUAUAUGCAAUUUUUAAGUUGAGCUCUUAUUCUCAAAUGCUUUCUCAAAUGUUGUGUAUACAGAAUAAAUUUGUUUAAGUUUUAUGAUGAUGCUGAGGAAGUCAUUGCAAUUCAGUGUUUUGUAAAUCUCCUCCCAUGUCAAUGACUUGAUAUUUCCUGAACUGUUUAGUCACUUGUUCUGUAAGGUUCAUUUCAGACUCAUGCGUGUUGAUUGGCAGACUUUCUCAGCCUUGUCUGUUUUGUUUAUGCCUAUGUUUGGUUGUGAUGUAAGUUUUACAUGUUAGAUUAAAUUCAGUGUAUUGUAUAUAUUGUAUGUUGACCCUUUCCAGGUCUUGCUGGAAGGUGUAGUCUUGACCAAAGACUGUAAAGUUAAAUUUUUCAUGUCAAUAUUUGAGCACUGAUGUGCAUGUUUCAGAUUACAGUGAAUCAUACCUCAGCUUGUUUGAGUCACGUCAUGUGUGUUUUGAUGUCUUUCCUUUGUGCAUUUGCUUCUGUGUUGAUGCAACGUAGUGUUUAGUUUUCUAAGUUAAAUCACAAAUUACUUCAGAGAAAGACGCCUACGCUGGAGGCUCCCGAAACAACCUGCUGAUGUAUGAUGGCGACACAAUGCUUCCUGUCAAAUUUUCUUCUAAUUGUGAUAUUUAUUUACAGUUAAAAUGACAAUGCUUUCUUUUGAAAAGUGCCUUCCGUGAUAUUAAUUUGUUUUGCCACAAACACCUGGUCAGUAGUUGUUAGCAAAUAGUUUUGUUCUACAAAUUAAUGUUCAUUUAUGUUUCCUGCAAUAACUGUAAGCAGAAGCAUUGUUAAGUUUACAAGCCGCAUGUUGUAUAGUGCAUCAGGUCCUUCGUAUCCAAGGGUCUUGAAACAUCAAGGCACGUGCGUGUGCAGGUGCUUUGUUCUUGCCAAAGAGUUCUACGAUAACUGAAGAUGAAUUCAGAAUUUAUCAGAAGAAACAGCAGCCACUCACACUCACACACACACACACACACCACUCCGUGGCAUGGCGCAACUGGUUAGAGCGCUGCGCUGCCAGGCUUCACGGUCUGACAGGGCAGUGGUUCGAGCCCGCUCAGGCCGGAUUCUUUCCAUUGACUAGGAGUGGUUACUGUCCUCCCUUGAGCAAGGGGGCUGGGGUGUGUGGUGUGUGAGGUCAUGGCAGUACCCAGAGAUCGACGAUAAAGAGCACUUGCUCAUGUCGGGAGGGUACCUGCUGGCGAUUACGAGUCCAACAUGUGAUCAGGCCGUGGUGAAUUACACACACACACACACACACACACACACACACACACACACACACACACACACACACACACACACACACACACACAGCAAAAUCUAAAUAUAGUGUGCAUUGUACAACUGAAUCUGGUUUUACCACCCUCAAUAAUUUUUGAGUAGUUAAGUUUACUGACAUGUAAUUCUCCUCACCAAAGUUUGAUCCAAUCAGGUUGUCUUGCUCCUCUCAGUUUACAGUCAGUCAGUUUCUUGAUUAAGCACUUAAUUGGCCUGUUGGUUAUAUGCUCAGCCAUGACUGAGUGAAGUGGAAUGAAACGGACAAUAUAUUUGCACAAAACAAA